AGAAGUUCAUUUUGUAUAGUAUGUCAGAGGCUUUGACGGCCCCAUAUAUAUUCAUGUUUUAAGAAAAAUGGUUCAAUGAUAUAGUGUUUUCUCACUUACAGUUGUACAUUAUGAGUUGUGGCUAUGUGAGCUCAUGAUAGUUACAAAAGUAAUAAGUCCAGCUAACUCGAACUAUGUAUGUUCUAGUUUUGGUCGAACGAUCAUGAGUUAAAAAGAGGUUAGCUCGGGAUAGCACGACACCAGGUGCUAGCAACGGCCCCAAAUUUUGGGGCGUGACAAGAUAGAAUGAUGGAAAAUUAGAAGUAAUAGUUGUCGGAAAGUAUUUCCAGCAAAAACUAUUCAUUUUCC
rnacentral:lncRNA from 1 species